ACGUAAUAGAUACCCUGGUAGUCCACGCCCUAAACGAUGUCUACUAGUUGUUGGUGGAGUAAAAUCCAUGAGUAAACGCAGCUAAACGCGUGAAGUAGACCGCCUGGGGAGUACGGUCGCAAGAUUAAAACUCAAAGGAAUCGACGGGGGCCCGCACAAGCGGUGGAUUAUGUGGAUUAAAUUCGAUGCAACGCGAAAAACCUUACCUGGCCUUGACAUGCCACUAACGAAGCAGAGAUGCAUUAGGUGCCCGUAAGGGAAAGUGGACACAGGUGCUGCAUGGCUGUCGUCAGCUCGUGUCGUGAGAUGUUGGGUUAAGUCCCGCAACGAGCGCAACCCUUGCCAUUAAUUGCCAUCAUUUAGUUGGGCACUUUAAUGGGACUGCCGGUGACAAACCGGAGGAAGGUGGGGAUGACGUCAAGUCCUCAUGGCCCUUAUGGCCAGGGCUUCACACGUAAUACAAUGGUCGGUACAGAGAGUUGCCAACCCGCA
rnacentral:rRNA from 1 species